GCAACUUUUUUCUUUCCCUUUUCCAUCUUCUCUUUUUGAUCUUUUCUUCUUUUUAUUCUGAUUUUCCUCCUUUCCCUUCUCCACCAUCUCCGCUUCCUCCACCACCACCAACACCGCCGCCUGUUCCCAUUCCCCAGAACCAAGGACGAAGAGGGGAGGGGUGCGGGGAGGUGCUAUGGAUUUGGGGAGAGGGAUGUGAGGUGCACCGGUGCCUUGUUCGCCAGGUGGGGAUUUGCAGCCUCCCUCCCCAGCACCCUCGUCCUUCCUCGCACCUGUCUGACCUUCUCCCUCUGCCACAACCCUCCAGGGGACGCGCCCGCUGCGACUUGCUGCGGUAAAAAAACACUAACUUUUGUUUUUCCACGUGCUUCUGUAGAGGUCCGAGUGUGUGUCCGGUACAUGGUGUGCAUCGUGGUGACUUACGCAAAUAGGACUGUAGUAGUAUAGACAGGUGAGUUCCAGUAUACGGUAUGCAUUCUGGUAACGUGGGCAAAUGAAAGGACUGUAGUGGUAUAAACAGGUAUGUUACACAGUGAUGGUAACAGUGGCAAAGGUGAUGGUAUAAAACAGUCAUAUAAUGGGAGUUUCUUACAUUUUCAAGC